rnacentral:lncRNA from 1 species
GCGAGGGGGUCAGGGACUGGGCCAAGCUCAGAAGCGGGGAGAAGAGCGAGACAGAGAUGCUCUGAGCAGGGGAGACAGGGAUCCCGGGCUGCUGCCGCUACCAACAAGGGUACACACUGCGGUCCUCAAGGCCAGGAGGGGGGUGGGGGCAGGGAAUGCCUCAGCCAACAGGGCAGCGGCUCGGCCCUGCUGCUGGCCCGGUGGGAAGUAGCCUGGGGCCCCGCGACUGAAAUCCGAGCCAGGCCUGGGCAGUCUCCGCUAGAAACGCUCUGGGCGCGCACUCCUGGAGACGCGGAGGCCCGGGCGCUCCAGACCAGUGUCCUUGUAGGAGGCUUCUUCACGAAGCUUAGAGUUUGGCCUUUCAUAGGGAAAGACUUGCUCGGGAGCAAGUCUAAGGGAUUUUAAGGGAUUUUAAAUCUUCCUGGGCCAGGGCUAGGGAGCUCUAGUGACAGUGUCUUGGUCUGGAAUCCAACUCUCCAAUUUUGAGGCCGCAGGGAGGAAUUCUGAGACUUUAGAGGCCGCACAGCCUUCAGCGCGCUCACCGCGUCCAGGCGUCAGUGAGGGGCUAUCUCGAGGCGCGAGUGCACAAAAGGUAGCGCGAGUCUCUUCUCAGGCGAUCCAGAUAAGAGGAAAUGAGAGCCGGGUUUUCUGACUUCCAACUCAUUAGGGACCAGGUUCUUUUUCUUCAGGAUCAGGCACAGAGACUGACUGAAUGGCUCCAAUUAUCAGGAUUUGAAAACCCAGUAUCAGAAUCUACCACUUUGUAUGGAGAAACUGAGGCCCAGAAAUUGAUGUCCAGAAUGCUUUGCUCUUAGCCACUGUACUAUUAUGGCAUAUUUUAUCUUUAUGUAUUGCAUCAUUUCAUGGAUUCAAGUUUAUCAAUGUCCUUUGACAAGUUUAAAAAUCUGUCUGCUAAAAUCUAUCCAAUACAUUAAGGAAAAGUCCCACUUGGCACAUCUCCCACACCAGAUGUUAAUUAUUCAUACUGCAUGACUGAGGAUUUUGGAGGCAGAGAGAGAUUCAUCUGCAAUAUUUGGAACACCAAUGGAGGUCUACGUCAACACAGAAUUUAUACAGCAGCUGGUGCUAGUCAGAGCUAAUGACAGAAUUUCAGUUUAAUAAAAAGACCCCCAACUGAGCACACCAUCUUGAAAAAAGUAUACUUAUCAAACAGCUUUCAAUCAGUUCAAGAGAGACACCUUAAUUGGGGAGAGGAAGAAUUGCAGAGUAGUUUGUAAUCAUGCCAAUUCCAGAUCAAUAACUGCAUGUCUGUUCUUUGGUAGAAAUAGCUUUUGCUUUAUAUUAAGUAAUCACAUAUAUAUUCUCUCUAUUUGGAUAAGGAAACCUUCGCUUUAUUUGACAAUGUAUAAUGAUAUACUCUUCUAAUUCACCUCUGUGUCUUCACAAUAAACAUGAGUAAAAUUUAGACAAGUGAUGGUAAAGGUCAAUAUAAUUAUUUAUUUUUAAAAUAAAUUUUGUAUCUAACAGGAAAGCAGUUCUUAUGAAAUUUUUAUAUUUUCAAAAAUUGUUUUGUUCAAAUAAAAUUUUAUGAGUAAAGUUAAA